rnacentral:rRNA from 1 species
AUACGUAGGGGGCAAGCGUUAUCCGGAUUUACUGGGUGUAAAGGGAGCGUAGGCGGCAUGGCAAGUCAGAAGUGAAAGCCCGCGGCUCAACUGCGGGACUGCUUUUGAAACUGUCAGGCUAGAGUGCAGGAGGGGUAAGCGGAAUUCCUAGUGUAGCGGUGAAAUGCGUAGAUAUUAGGAAGAACACCGGUGGCGAAGGCGGCUUACUGGACUGAAACUGACACUGAGGCUCGAAAGCGUGGGGAGCAAACAGGAUUAGAUUCCCUGGUAGUCCACGCCGUAAACGAUGAAUACUAGGUGUUGGGGGGCAUAGCCCCUCGGUGCCGCAGUUAACGCAAUAAGUAUUCCACCUGGGGAGUACGGUCGCAAGAAUGAAACUCAAAUGAAUUGGCGGGG